GAAGUGGGCAUGGCAGUGGCAUACGGGGAACCUGGGGUUCAACGCCCCACUCCCCAGUCAGUCCAGGUGGUCAGCCCCAGCCCAGACUCCAGGACUGGGAUUUGAACUCAGGGCUUCCCACAUGAAAGCAGGCCCUAGCCUUGACUGGAGCAGGAGUCCAUUUGCAAGAUACCCUGGAGGAAUUGCUUUAGAAGGAAGCAGAGGUGGUAAGUGUGUCCUACAAACCUGUACUUGCCAGACGGUGCCCUGUGCAUGCCCUUGGCGGAAAGCGCCUUGGAAACCCCAGGAUGACUGGCCCCGCUUCCUCCCCUCACCGCAUCCUGGAGCUCACGGCCAGCAGGUGCAGAGGGGCAGUCUCUGUUGACCACCUCGCCAAGGGCACAGGAGGCUGC